rnacentral:rRNA from 1 species
GACGAACGCUGGCGGCGUGCUUAACACAUGCAAGUCGAACGAUGAAGCCGCUUCGGUGGUGGAUUAGUGGCGAACGGGUGAGUAACACGUGGGCAAUCUGCCCUGCACUCUGGGACAAGCCCUGGAAACGGGGUCUAAUACCGGAUACGACCAUCGGCCGCAUGGCCUGGUGGUGGAAAGCUCUGGUGGUGCAGGAUGAGCCCGCGGCCUAUCAGCUUGUUGGUGGGGUGAUGGCCUACCAAGGCGACGACGGGUAGCCGGCCUGAGAGGGCGACCGGCCACACUGGGACUGAGACACGGCCCAGACUCCUACGGGAGGCAGCAGUGGGGAAUAUUGCACAAUGGGCGCAAGCCUGAUGCAGCGACGCCGCGUGAGGGAUGACGGCCUUCGGGUUGUAAACCUCUUUCAGCAGGGAAGAAGCUUUCGGGUGACGGUACCUGCAGAAGAAGCACCGGCUAACUACGUGCCAGCAGCCGCGGUAA